AUUGAACGCUGGCGGCAUGCCUUACACAUGCAAGUCGAACGGUAACAGGCCGCAAGGUGCUGACGAGUGGCGAACGGGUGAGUAAUGCAUCGGAACGUGCCCAGUCGUGGGGGAUAACUGCUCGAAAGAGCAGCUAAUACCGCAUACGACCUGCGGGUGAAAGCGGGGGACCGUAAGGCCUCGCGCGAUUGGAGCGGCCGAUGUCAGCUUAGCUAGUUGGUGGGGUAAAGGCCUACCAAGGCAACGAUCUGUAGUUGGUCUGAGAGGACGACCAGCCAGCCUGGGACUGAGACACGGCCCAGACUCAUACGGGAGGCAGCCGUGGGGAAUUUUGGACAAUGGGCGAAAGCCUGAUCCAGCAAUGCCGCGUGCAGGAAGAAGGCCUUCGGGUUGUAAACUGCUUUUGUCAGGGAAGAAAUCCUCUGGGUUAAUACCUCGGGGGGAUGGCGGUACCUGAAGAAUAAGCACCGGCUAACUACGUGCCAGCCGCCGCAGUAAUAC
rnacentral:rRNA from 1 species